rnacentral:rRNA from 1 species
GAACGCAGCCGGCGCUGCUAAACACAUACAAGUGACGGAAAGGCCCUUCGGGGUACUCGAGUGGCGAACGGGUGAGUAACACGUGGGUGAUCUGCCCUGCACUUCGGGAUAAGCCUGGGAAACUGGGUCUAAUAUCGGAUAUACCUCAUGCAUUGCAUGGUUUGUGGGGGAAAGCUUUUGCGGUGUGGGAUGGGCCCGCGGCCUAUCAGCUUGUUGGUGAGGUUAUGGCUUACCAAGGCGACGACGGGUAGCCGGCCUGAGAGGGUGUCCGGCCACACUGGGACUGAGAUACGGCCCAGACUCCUACGGGAGGCAGCAGUGGGGAAUAUUGCACAAUGGGCGCAAGCCUGAUGCAGCGACGCCGCGUGAGGGAUGACGGCCUUCGGGUUGUAAACCUCUUUCAGCACGGACGAAGCGAAAGUGACGGUACCUGCAGAAGAAGCACCGGCCAACUACGUGCCAGCAGCCGCGGUAAUACGUAGGGUGCGAGCGUUGUCCGGAAUUACUGGGCGUAAAGAGCUCGUAGGUGGUUUGUCACGUUGUUCGUGAAAACUCACAGCUUAACUGUGGGCGUGCGGGCGAUACGGGCAGACUAGAGUACUGCAGGGGAGACUGGAAUUCCUGGUGUAGCGGUGGAAUGCGCAGAUAUCAGGAGGAACACCGGUGGCGAAGGCGGGUCUCUGGGCAGUAACUGACGCUGAGGAGCGAAAGCGUGGGGAGCGAACAGGAUUAGAUACCCUGGUAGUCCACGCCGUAAACGGUGGGUACUAGGUGUGGGUUUCCUUCCUUGGGAUCCGUGCCGUAGCUAACGCAUUAAGUACCCCGCCUGGGGAGUACGGCCGCAAGGCUAAAACUCAAAGAAAUUGACGGGGGCCCGCACAAGCGGCGGAGCAUGUGGAUUAAUUCGAUGCAACGCGAAGAAC